rnacentral:rRNA from 1 species
GACGAACGCUGGCGGCGUGCUUAACACAUGCAAGUCGAACGGAAAGGCCCUGCUUUUGUGGGGUGCUCGAGUGGCGAACGGGUGAGUAACACGUGAGUAACCUGCCCUUGACUUUGGGAUAACUUCUGGAAACUGGGGCUAAUACCGGAUAGGAGCUCCUGCUGCAUGGUGGGGGUUGGAACGUUUCGGCGGUUGGGGAUGGACUCGCGGCUUAUCAGCUUGUUGGUGGGGUAGUGGCUUACCAAGGCUUUGACGGGUAGCCGGCCUGAGAGGGUGACCGGCCACAUUGGGACUGAGAUACGGCCCAGACUCCUACGGGAGGCAGCAGUGGGGAAUAGUGCACAAUGGGCGGAAGCCUGAUGCAGCAACGCCGCGUGCGGGAUUACGGCCUUCGGGGUGUAAACCGCUUUCGCCUGUGACGAAGCGUGAGUGACGGUAAUGUGUAAAGAAGCACCGGCUAACUACGUG